UGUUUUAAAAACCCUCACUAAAUGUACAACAUGUUCAGUCAUGACCCACUAAAUGAAGAGAAAUCGUUAAUGAGUGUAAUAAUGCUGUUGUGCUGUGUGACAUGAGAGUGUAACUUCCUGAUGCAUUUCCUUUCUCUUUUAAAAGGUAGCUACAGACACACUUUCAGUCAUCCACAGAGCAGCACAUCAGACAACAAAUUACAUACACACACACACACACACACACACACAUACCAAGAACAACUGAUCUGGAAGGGACAUGGGCAAACCACUACUUCUGAUUCUCAUUAUCAUCACUGAAAUAAUAGCUGACAGCAUUGAUCCUGAUCUGGACCGUGUAAGUCACCCGGAAGGAAUGAAAACAGUUACCCUGAAAUGUUCAUAUCAGACAAGCAGCCGUUAUGUUCACCUUUACUGGUACAGGCAGUAUUAUGGUCAGGCACCACAAUGGCUUCUAUUGAAAGGUGCGCGAUCAUACAGUAGUGAUGAGAGCUCAGACCCACGAUUUACCUCUAAUACCGAUGAAACAUUUACUGAACUCAUCAUUAAAGAUCUGACGCUGGCAGACACAGCUCUCUACUACUGUGCUCUGUGGGUAGCCCAGUGAUACAAAGACUCAGAGAAGCUGUACAAAAACUCACAUUUUAA